rnacentral:rRNA from 1 species
GAUGAACGCUAGUGGCAGGCCUAACACAUGCAAGUCGAGGGGUAUCCCGCUUUCGGGCGGGAGAGACCGGCGCACGGGUGCGUAACGCGUAUGCAACCUACCCUGUACUGGGGGAUAGCCCGGAGAAAUUCGGAUUAACACCCCAUAGUACUAAUGAAUGGCAUCAUUUAUUAGUUAAAGGUUACGGUACAGGAUGGGCAUGCGUCCUAUUAGCUAGAUGGUAAGGUAACGGCUUACCAUGGCUACGAUAGGUAGGGGGCCUGAGAGGGUGGUCCCCCACACUGGUACUGAGACACGGACCAGACUCCUACGGGAGGCAGCAGUGAGGAAUAUUGGUCAAUGGGCGCAAGCCUGAACCAGCCAUGCCGCGUGCAGGAAGACGGUCCUAUGGAUUGUAAACUGCUUUUGACGGGGAACAAGUCGGCCAUGCGUGGCUAAGUGAGUGUACCCGUAGAAUAAGCCACGGCUAACUACGUGCCAGCAGCCGCGGUAA